GACGGAGGAUGCAAGUGUUAUCCGGAAUCACUGGGCGUAAAGCGUCUGUAGGUGGUUUAAUAAGUCAACUGUUAAAUCUUGAGGCUCAACCUCAAAAUCGCAGUCGAAACUAUUAGGCUAGAGUAUAGUAGGGGUAAAGGGAAUUUCCAGUGGAGCGGUGAAAUGCGUAGAGAUUGGAAAGAACACCGAUGGCAAAGGCACUUUACUGGGCUAUUACUAACACUCAGAGACGAAAGCUAGGGUAGCAAAUGGG
rnacentral:rRNA from 1 species